GUAACAUAAAGGCUUUUUUUUUGCUUGGAGAAAGAAGAAGAACAAGAAGAAAAGGAAGACGCACACAGCUCACAUCUGCAAAUGAGAUUCAGUUCUUCGGAGCAAAAAAAAAAAAAAAAAAAAUGGAUGCUGGUGAUCCAAGGCAAAGUCGACCUUCUUUCCUGUGAUUGAUCUACCAGAUAUGUCCUCUGCAUUUGCUGUUCUCUUCUGUUGCACUUAUGUGCAUAACAUCAAGUACCAAAUGGAAGCAGCCACUACUUUGGAAUUUAUUCAGAUACGUAUGUUCAUUGCGAGGAUCGAUCCUGUCAACAGCAAGAGCUCUGCAAAAUUCCAGAUCAGCAAAAGAAGUGGGAAGAUGGUGUAAAGGAGAAACUCUGGCCUGAACCCUCAUGUGUCCUCUGUCAUUAAGGAGUUUGUGGAUUUCAGCUGGCAACUUUGAAAAAAAUAAUCCAUGCUUCUUGUGUGUAACAAAAGUUUGAGUUCUUUUUGAAGAUUCAUGCAUGCACUAUCGUCACUAUUCACUAUUAUCAUAGUAUGUUGUGCUUAGCAUAAAUUUGAAGAAUUUUUUCUUACUAUAAUAGUUAGA